UGUACAAAAAAGAUUAACAGCCUGUUCCACGAUCUCGAAAGAAAAUUUGUGCGAACGAAGGCUACUCACUCACUUUCGUAUAAGAAUGCGUUCCACUAACUUUCGUUCUUUCUUUCGCAUAGCCUUACGUGAUUCAGUGUUGCUAAAUAUUUUUUUGGAAAAAUUAAUCGCGAAAUAAAGCAAAAAAAGCGUCAAAUGUCUAAUUUAAACGCGAAAAAGCAGCAGUGGAUCUGUCUCAACUGACAUUUCAGUUGUAAACAAACAAAUUGUAAAUAAACAAACAAAAUAAAAUUUCUAGUGAUUGUGUUCAAACUAUUUGUGCUCUUAGAAAAUAAAAAAAGAAUAUUUCCGUUGCCCUAUUUUUUAUGGAGGAGGUUCGAAAUGUGCCACGAAGGCAUUUAAGAGAUGCUUCGAAUUUAUUUGAAGUACCUAACAACCAGUUUGUGGCCAACUUUCGUGUGUCGAAGGAAGUUUUCGGGCUCUUUUGGAUAUGAUGGAAGAGAAGUGGUUGCCCGGUUGCAGAACUACCCAAAUCCGCCCCGAUUUAAAACUUCUUCUGCUGCUUCCAAAAAUUGGCAUUCCUCUGGCGAACACAGGAUUCUCCUCCAUUUACUCAACUAGUGCCCGCAGCUGUGUAGUUGAUGAUUUUUUCGUGCUGGAAUUGAGAAAAUAAAAAAAAUAUAUAUUUGUUGUUCACAUAUUAAAUUGCAUUUAUUAUUUUUACUUACAUUUUUGUUUCCAUUUUCAAUCAAGCAAUGUUUAUGUUAAAACAAUUUUCCUUAAUUGUUAUUAUACGAUAGCAAACACACAAGUGACUGAUUUUGACAUUUGUGUUCGCAUGCGUACGAAAGAAAAAAGAUAGUGGAACGCAAAAUUACACUGAAAUGCUUACGUUUUCGUUCGCUUUGAUUUUCGUGCAAAUUUUCGUUCUGAUAGAUUUUAGUGGAACGGAAAUCAGCUGUUUGUCGUGUAAAAGUUGUGCGAACGUGUUCUUUCGAUAUCGUGGAACUGGCUGUAAGUGUUUCUUAUGAAACUUAUUGCUAAAACUUACCUGCUAACUUAAAACUUACAACUGAGAUAUGGCCGCUUACUUGCCUAAACAGGACUGCCGUCUGGACGAUCGCAACCGUAGCCCAGACUCACCUGCCCGUCCAACAGCAAAAAGCGCCAAUAGACCCAUACGGCCAAUCCAAAGUCCCAGUUCCACAUCCCCUGAAAGGCGACAGAGAAGUCGAUCCGACGCAAGACCCCGCCAACGCCAAGAAAGACCAAGUUACUGGCAAUAUUCGUGUGGACUAUGCCAAGAUGACCAUGCCCUCAGUGCCUGUGAACGGUUCCGCAGACAGACGCCCUUCCAGCGGUAUGAGACAGUGGAGCGUCGGGGGUAUUGCCGAAAUUGCCUGGCUAGAAGCCAUUUGGCCCCCGAC